UUAAGCAUAAACGGUGAAUACCUCGAC
rnacentral:misc_RNA from 1 species